UGACGGCACCAUGUGAUGAAAAAUACAUCGUUGGAAACAAGUCCACAAACUAAAGGAAAGCAGUGAGAUGGAUAAGUUGAAAACACAGCUGUGCAAGUAUCUGCAGAGGAUGUUGCCAUUUUCAUCAGUCAGAUUCUAAUCUGCGCAUG